CCUGCCAGUAGCAUAUGCUUGUCUCAAAGAUUAAACCAUGCAUGUGUAAGUACCCACGGCCACUACAGUGAAACUGCAAAUGGAUCAUUAAAUCAGUUAUGGUUCCUUUGAUCGCUCCAUCUGUUACUUGGAUAACUGUGGUAAUUCUAGAGCUAAUACAUGCCGACGAGCGCUGACCCCCAGGGAUGCAUGCAUUUAUCAGACCAAAACCCAUCUGGG